rnacentral:rRNA from 1 species
UACAGAGGUCCCAAGCGUUGUUCGGAUUCAUUGGGCGUAAAGGGUGCGUAGGCGGCGCGGUAAGUCGGGUGUGAAAUCUCGGAGCUUAACUCCGAAACUGCAUUUGAUACUGCGGUGCUUGAGGACUGGAGAGGAGACUGGAAUUUACGGUGUAGCAGUGAAAUGCGUAGAGAUCGUAAGGAAGACCAGUGGCGAAGGCGGGUCUCUGGACAGUUCCUGACACUGAGGCACGAAGGCCAGGGGAGCAAACGGG